AGAGCGGAGGGGGCCUGGUUCCUGAAUAAGAAGCAGCCCAGGUCCACGAGGGAGGGCCAUGGGAGAGGUUGCCGAGAGCAGGGCUGGCAACCUGUUUGGUCCCUGGCAGGUACAAAGAGAAGGAGGGAGGGGGCCGGAGGGGUGCUGGGUGUUGGGGGAGGAGUGAGUACUUCCCAGCGGGGCUCAUAGGGCUGCCAGAUUCAGUGGAUAGAAAUGCAGGAUGAGGAGUUCCCUUGUGGCUCAGUGGGUUAAGAACCCGACUAGCAUGUGUGAGGAUCUAUGAGGAUGCGGGUUCAAUCCCUGGCCUUGCUCAGUGGGUUAAGGAUGCAGUGUUGCUGCAAGAUGACGUGGCUUGGAUCUGGCGGUGCUGUGGCUCUGAUGUAGGCAGCUGCAGCUCCAAUUCAACCCCUAGCUCCAGAAACAUCCAUAGGCCACAGGUGCAGCCGUAAAAAGAAAGAAAAAAGACAUGCAGGAUGCCCAGCUCAAUCUCAGCCUAGCCCCCAGCGUGGCCCAGAAGGACCUCCAACAGAUUAAGGUUUAAACAGAAGAGGACUGGACAAUCUCAACAGAUACAGAAAAGCCCUCCGCUGGCCUCCCCCCCAGGAGGACCCCACCAACAGGGUCCCACUGAAUAAUUACCCUCGGGAUGUGAUGGGCUGACACUGCCUCCUGACGUCGACGGCUGAGAAAGAUGCUCUUUUUCUAUCCCUCAAACGGUCAACUUUUUCGUUUGUUUUUGUUUGUUUUUGCUUUUUUUAAGGCCGCACCCCAGACACAUAGAGGUCCCCAGGCUAAGGGUUGCAUUGGAGCUACAGCUGCCUGCCUACACCACAGCCUCAGCAACGCCAGAUCCAAGUCGCGUCUGAGACCUACACCACAGCUCACAGCAAUGCCGGAUCCUUAACCCACUGAGCAAGGCCAGGGAUCGAACCUGCGUCCUCGUGGAUGCUAGUCAAAUGGGUUAACCGCUGAGCCAUGCCGGGAAUUCCUGGUCGGUCAAAUUUCCUCACUGCUCUUUCUUUUUCAAAGUCCUGUGUCUGCUGGGGUGACCUCACGGUAAUUUUCCUAUGGAAGGAGGCUUCUGAGAGGAUAAGGACUCUGACACCUGUUUAGAGAGAGGGGUUCCUGAUUCUGGGGUCCGAGGAGGGCUUCCGAGGGUCUGGGGACCACCUGCAAUUGUCCAGCAAACAAUGCGUCCACGCACACGGAUAGGCAUCUAUUGUCCCCCAAGAAAGGGAGUCGCUAGUUUUCAGCAGAAGUUCAAGGGGAAUCUGUAUCCCAGAGAAGAGUAGCAAAUGUUCACGGAGAAGCAGUGGAUACCCGAGGUCCCUGGCCUGGAGCUCAUGACCCCUUAGGGUCUAUGGAGACAAUUCAGGAAGCCCAGGAGCUGAGACCAGGUCAAUUUCGAUCUUUAGUUCAUAGCUAUUUCUCCACUCUAUUAAAACCGUUGCAGGUAUCUCGAAAUAUUCCUAGCACUCUUCAUUCCUCAGAAAUUAUGGUGUCUCUAUCACAUCUUUCUGGACUCCACGUUGGUACUCCCCUCCCGUAAGGGAGAAAAACCCCUAUAGGACAAUGUGGGGUGGGGAGGGCUCUUCUUCCGCCUCCCAGCUGUCCUGGGAGCUGUUGCUUUCCUGUCAUAAAGACUUCGCUUGCUUAAAAAAAAAAAAUCCAGAAAUCGUGGUGGUUUUAAACCAGCAACUAUGCUGUCUUUAAUGCAUUAAUAAAGAAGCUCAUAUACCCUA